rnacentral:lncRNA from 10 species
ACUGCGCUUCCGUCGCACAGAGCCUGACGAAGGCUUGGGCUCCCCGCGCGGUGACCGUCGAGGUGACCUGCACCUGGCUCCAUGGCGGAACCGGCCGGCACGGAUUAUUCCCCUCUCGGGAGAGGUCUGCAGCCGGGCCUCAGUGCUUCAGUUCGUGGCCUGGCAUUUUGUGAAGAGUGUCUUCAUCUCUGCAUCCCUAGUGCAACAGAGCAUGACAAAAAUUCAACAAAUAUUUAUUGAAGAGUCUUGAUGUCUUUUGGGAAAGGAACUCUAUGGUUACCUUUACUCUAAGGCAUUGUGAAGACCCUGUUUCUCUAGCUGUGCAGCUGCAAGGUCACUAGGCAGAUAAACUCAAGCCAUAAAACAUGUUUUUCCUUGAAAAAUUAGAUGGGUGUUACUGAUUCUUACCUCAGAGAAGAGAAUGUCAUGGAGACAAAAUGACCUGCUUAGAGUUCUGCACCCCCCAGCAUGGAGAGCAGAGCGCAAAGAUUUCUUCCGGACUCCCACAUUCCCCUUGGAAUCCAAGAACUGGUCUACUGUCACAACACUUUAGUACCCUCUUCUCCCAAGGAGGCAGCAGAAACUGGGGUAAUCACAACGGUCAACAGCAGCAAAGGCAGCACUUUCUG